rnacentral:rRNA from 1 species
AACGAACGCUGGCGGCAUGCCUAACACAUGCAAGUCGGACGAACCCUCCGGGGUUUGUGGCGCACGGGUGCGUAACGCGUGGGAAUCUGCCCUUGGCUUCGGAAUAACAGUUAGAAAUGACUGCUAAUACCGGAUGAUGUCGCAAGACCAAAGAUUUAUCGGCCAGGGAUGAGCCCGCGUAGGAUUAGGUAGUUGGUGGGGUAAAGGCCUACCAAGCCGACGAUCCUUAGCUGGUCUGAGAGGAUGAUCAGCCACACUGGGACUGAGACACGGCCCAGACUCCUACGGGAGUCAGCAGUGGGGAAUAUUGGACAAUGGGGGCAACCCUGAUCCAGCAAUGCCGCGUGAGUGAUGAAGGCCUUAGGGUUGUAAAGCUCUUUUACCCGGGAUGAUAAUGACAGUACCGGGAGAAUAAGCUCCGGCUAACUCCGUGCCAGCCGCCGCAGUAA